rnacentral:lncRNA from 1 species
AAAUUGGAAAAGUAAAAUACUUUAUUCACAGAUGACAUGAUUAUCUACAUAGAAAAUGCUAAAGAAUCUAGAAAAAAGCUACUAGAAUAAGUUAACUGAUCUAAGUUGCUUGAUACAAGAUCAAUGUACAAGUCUAAUGCAUUUCUAUAUACUAGCAAUAACUAGAAAACAGCUUUUUGAAAACCUUACCACUUGCAAUAGCAUGCAGAAAUAUUAAAUACAUGAAUUUAACAAAAUGUGAGAGCUGCAAACUGAGAGAAAUUAACAGAUCUAAAUAAAUGGGGCAGUACACCAUGUUCAACAAUUGGAAAACUCAGAAUUGUUAAAAUGUCAUUUCUCCCUAAAUUGAUCUAUAAAUCCCAGAAGACUUUCUUUUUGCAGACAUUGAUAAAAGUUGUUUUUUGAGACAGUUUCACUCUUGGUUGCCCAGGCUAGAGUGCAAUGCCACGAUCUCAGCUCACUGAAACCUCCACCUCCCAGGUUCAAGCAAUUCUCCUGCCUCAGCCUCCCGAGUAGCUGGGAUUCUACAGGCGCCUGCCACCACGCCUGGCUAAUUUUUUUGUAUUUUUAGUAGAGAUGGGGUUUCACCAUCUUGGCCAGGCUGGUUUUGAACUCCUGACCUCAAGUGAUCCGCCUGCCUCGGCCUCCCAAAGUGCUGGGAUUAUACAGGCAUGAGCCACGGGCCUGGCCUGAAGUUGAUAGAAGUUGACUUCAAAUUUUAUACGAAAAUGCAAAGGAUCUAGAAGUCAAAAAAAAAAAAAUGGGAAAAGAACAAAACGGAAGCCCUUCCAAUACCUGAGUUCAACUACAGUUGGCCAGGAGUGGUGGCUUAAUAAAAAAUAUUCAAAAGACACCAUUAAGAAAAUGAACAGGCAAACCAAACAUGAAAAUAUUCACAAUAUUUGUCACAAAUGGAGACAAAGAAUUCUAUAUAUUACAUGUAUGUUUUUCAUGCAGAAUAUGGAAAGAACUUGAGUCAACAAUAAGCAUCCCAACUUAAAAACAGGCAAAAGGCACGAACAGACACAUCACAAAAGACGACACGGAAAAGCAAUAAGCAGAUGAAAUCAUAGACAUACAUUAUUCAGUGGGCAAAUACAAAUUAAAAUCAUAAGGAGGCUAGAGUGGAUUAAAUUUUAAGAGACUGACAAUGCCAAGUGUUAGCAAAGAUAUGGAGCAACUGGAAUCUUCCCAUAAUGUAGUAAUAGUGUAAAAUGAUUCAACCACUACAGAGGGCUGUGUGACAAUUUCUUAGGAAGUUAGAAACACGUAUUGCAAUGGACUGAAUGUUUACAUCCUUGCACAAUUCAUGUCAAAUUCCUAACCCAUAAGAUGAUAUGAGGUGGGGUCUUGGGGAGGGGACAGAAUCACAAGGGGAGAGCCCUCAUGAAUGGGGUAAGCUUGCUAGUCCCUUUCCACCACGUGCAGUCACAGUAAAAAGACAUCUACUUAAAAGGAAGCAGGCCCUCACUAGACACCAAAUGUUGACACCCUCAUCUUGGACUUCCCAGCCUCCAGAACUGUAAAACAUAAAUUUCUGUUGUUUAUAAGCCUCCCAGUUGAUGGUAUUUUGUUAUGGCAGCCUGAAUGAACUAAGACACUUACAACACAGCAAUUAAAGUCCUAGGUACUUACCCAAGAGAAAUAAAAACACAUGUGCAAAUACAUACUUUUACACAAAUGCUCAUAGUUUUAAGAGCCGAGACUGGAAACCCAUUAACACAUGGAUGAAUAAACAAAUGAUGGCUUAUCCACACAAUGGAAUACUAUUCAGCAAGGAGAACUACUGAAACACAAAACAGCUUGGAUGAGUCUAAAAACAUGCCAAAGUGAGACAUCAGACGCAAAAGAACACAUAGUAAAUGAAUCCAUUUGUAUGAGGCUCUAAACCAAGCAACACUAAUCUAUGAGGAUAGAAAGUGGUUAUCUGGGGCUGGAGUGGGCUUAACUAGGAAAAGGCAAAAGGGAACUUCUUUGGGUGACAGAAACGUUUUUGGUUCUGGCGGUGGUGGUUACACAGGUGGUGGUGGUUACACAGGUGUAUAGAUUUUUCAAAACCUUGUACACUUAAAUAGGCGUUUUACUAUAUGAAAAUUGAAUCUCAAUAAAGUUGAUUAAAAUGGUCUGGUAAAAUCUACAUUUGAAACAUCUCUAGUAAUGCUGAUUUUCCAGAAAAUGUAGAUCUCUUUUUUGAAUUAUUUGUCCUGAGACGUUCAGGGUUGGUAGUAUUUAAGAACUCAAAAUAUGGCCUCAUGAGAAAAAAAUUAUAUCGUUACAAAACUGGACUUUGGGGUUCAUGUCCAGAUGAAAUUCAGAGGUAAAGACUAACAGUUUGGCGAGGCGGCUGUCCACUGUCCAUUUACCUCGCCUGCUUUCGAACAGUCCUAGCCAAAAAGCCAUCUGUCAUGGCUCCAUGUUUCUGCAGAUUCCUCUCCUGGACCCUAUUUUCUUCUUCAGCUGCUCUCUACUGAUCUCUGGCCCAGCUGAAAUGUCACCUCUUCUGUAAGGCCUUCCCAGCUCUGUGCCACAGCAGGCACCCCCUCACCUGUGCUCCUUCACACCUGAGGGCACAUACUUAACUCACCCUACUGUGAUCUCCGUCUUCCCCACUACACGGUGGAUGACUUCAGGGUAGUGGGUUGCUCAUCUGUUUUCCCAACAUUGAGGACUAUUCCUUAUAGAUAUCAAUACAUUUUGAAAUGACACAAUGAGCCAGAGAGCAUGGAAAAUGACAAGAGCUCAGUUCAACCUCAGAACUGCUACAACAGAAGAGUUACGUAGCGCAUUGAGACUGUGCCUUUCGAGUGAGACAGAAAGAUACAGACAAGUAAGUAAAGACCUUCUCUUGAGACCUGCCUCCUCCUGUCCCCACUGUUCCAGCUGAGCCAGGUGUCAAUGCCCUCCAGAUCAAGUAGACAGUUCUGCAUGAGCUGUAAGGUGGCACACAGGAGGGCGUGGAUGUGCACAGGAUAUUGCCUGCAACUUCUAAGUAGGAGCAGCAGACAGUAGCAGGGCUGAGAAGAUACUUCUAACAGAAUCGUAGAUUAUACUGAUACAAAAUGAACAAACAACAAAAAAAACAGCCAACAGCUGAAAAUUUUUAGAAUGGCAGUAUAGAAAGGACAAAGCAAGAGAGAUGCCAAUUACACAUAGAUUUAGGGGUGUAUUUUUUAUUGCCCUGUGCUAGACAGUGGACACAUGGAAAUCAAUCAGAUAUGAUCACUGUCCUCAGGAACCCAACAGCAUAGUGACAGAGAUAGUCUAUCACAUCAUUCUGACAUAUGCAAGUAAAUAUAGUAAUAGCAGUAAUCACUGAGCCACAGAAGUGUGGAGAGUGCUGCCAACUAAGCUUGAGGGAAACACCCAUUGACAUGAUGCCUGAGGCUUGUCUUGAACCAUGAUUCAGAGUUAAUUAGCUGAGAAGAGACCCUUCAACAAGAACAAAGGCGAGAGAGGUAGGAAGCCACGUGGAGCACAGGGAAGAUGAAGCAGUCGGUGUUGCUGCAGCAUUAACCGUGUGGCAGGAAGUCAGGCAGUGGGAGGCAGGGCUCCAGGACGCAGGAGGCCUUAGGGCACACGAUGGGAGGCCUGGAGUUCCUCCUCAGGACAACAGGGAAAUGGCUCGGGGUUCAUACACGAGUUACCUUUCUUCAACUUAACACAUCAAAAUGUCCUAGGUAACAUUCUCCUAAAUCGUAAGAUUAGAUACACAGUUGUGCUGUAAUAAGGGAUUUAAGUCAAGGAUGGACUCUGCUUAACUGGGGAUGAAACUUCUUAAAAACCUUUUCUUGAGACCUGUCUUCUCCCUGCCCCUACUGUUCCAGCUCAGAGUCAGGUGUCAAGCCCUGUGACUCUCCUGAGGACAGUGCUCACAGCUGAGGAGAAGGGCUGAGCCGAGUAGGGCUGCACAGUGGCAGGUGGCACCCACUGCAAAAGCAGCCCCAUCCAUGACUCACAAAAUUCUGACAUGUCCAAAUCUUAGAAACCACAUGAAUCCUAAUUCCACGCAUUUCCAAACAUCACUCACUGGGCGGGAAAGUAAUUAUUUUAUAAGUUACCUGUGUGUUCCCCCUUAUCUACAGACCUCUCACCCAAAUGUAUGGGGGCCUUACUCAAGGAGAGUCCCUCUUGGUGAACCCUUUGAUUAUUUUUAACGUUUGUAGUUGAGUUAAAAUCUCUCCCAUACUGACUACAUUCAUAGAGCUUCUCUUCAGUAUGAAUUUUCUGGUGUUGAAGGAAGUUUGACCUCUGAAUAAAGCCUUUCCCACAAUAACUGCACACAUAGGGCUUUUCUCCAGUGUGAAUAAUCUGGUGCAGAAGCAGCUUGGAGCUCUGGAUGAAGGCUUUCCCACAGUCUUUACAUUCGAAGGGCCUGUCCCCAGAGUGGAUCUUCUGGUGCUCAGUGAGAUGGGCUUUCUGGAGAAACGCUUUCCCACAUUCCUUACAUUCAUACACUCUCUCUCCAGUGUGGAUUUUCUGGUGUCGAAUAAGGUAUGAACUCAGAAAGAAAGCUUUCCCACACUCGUUACAUUCAUAGAGUUUCUCUCCAGUGUGAAUUCUCUGAUGCUGGGUGAAGUUUGACGUCUGGCUGAAGCGCUUCCCACACUCAUUGCAUACGUAAGGCCUCUCCCCAGUAUGGAUCCUCUGAUGCUGAAUGAGCUUUGAACUCCGAAUAAAGGCUUUCCCACACUCAUUGCAUUCAAAGGGUCUCUCUCCGGUGUGAAUUCUCUGGUGUUCAAUAAGGUCUGAGCGAUGACGGAAUGCCUUCCCACAUUCUUUGCAUUCAUACUGUUUCACUUCUGUGUGGAUCUGAUAAUGGCGAAUGAGGCUCGAGCUCCUUAUGAAGGAUUUCCCACAUUCAUUGCACUCAUAGGGCCUUUCUCCCGUGUGAAUCCUCUGAUGGCGAAUAAGUAAGGAGCUCUGACUGAAGCCUUUCCCACACUCUUUGCAUUCAAAAGGUCUCUCUCUGGUGUGAACUCUCUGGUGCCUAAUCAGGUCUGAACUGUGACAAAACGCCUUCCCACACUGCGCACAUUUGAAGGGCUUUUCUCCUGAAUGAACGCGCUGAUGCUCAAUGAGACCUGAAUAGUGAAUGAAGUCUUUCCCACACACAUUACAGACGUAGAGUCUCUCUCCAGUGUGAAUUCUCUGAUGCUCCAUAAGGUGUGAGCUCUGGCCAAAGCCUUUCCCACACUGAUCGCACGUGUAAGGUUUCUCCCCAGCAUGCGAAAUCCGAUGCCUAACUAGGUCCGAAUUAAACGUGAAGGUUUUGCCACAGAUAUCGCAAGGAUUGGCUUCCCCCUCUAUGAGCUCUCUCUGAAGCAGAAGAAGGUCUGAGUUCAGAAUAUGGUUUCUUCCUGACUUGGUGCACACUUGAGCUGUCUCUCCUGUCUGGAUCUUCCAAUGGGUCACUGUCACCUGCUUGCAGCCCCUGUCCUGAGAGGGGGAACUCCCCAGGCUCUGACCUUCUGGAUUUCCCAAGAGCUCCCCUAAUCUGGGCUCGUGGACUUCCUCAGACUCGGGAGAGGGGAGCUCCAUCACCGUGAGUCUGUCUGACGUCGUCCUAUGUGAGUUUUCAUCCUCAGAAAUCCAGGCUUCAGUCACCUUCUUCUCACCAGUUCCUACAUUAGAAUCUGAAACAAAAGACAACAAAAUCAUCUUUCCCCUUACUUAACAGAUGGGGAUCUCCUGAAUCAGGGCAGGAUAAAAUCCAUAUCCAAGAGGUGGAAAGUGUUUCCUCUGCCCCUCAUCCUGACCCAACAUGCUGCUACCCACAGCUCUGGUCUCACACCCAAGCCUGUCCCACAUAAGAUGGCUUCUUUGUGGCUCCACUUUUAACAUCCAACACCAGGACAGACUGGUCUGUGGUGC